ensembl:Y_RNA Y_RNA Y RNA
GACUGAUCCAAAGGUGGUGAAUUAUCUGAACUGAUUGUUCAAUCAGUGACAGAUCAAACUCCUUACUCUACUUUUCCCUUCUCACUACUGCACUUGUCUUAA